rnacentral:rRNA from 1 species
GACGAACCGAGCGAACGUUGUUCGGAAUCACUGGGCCUAAAGGGUGCGUAGGCGGGCCACCAAGUCUGUGGUGAAAUUCUCUGGCUUAACCAGAGUAGUGCCGCGGAUACUGGGGGCCUCGAGGGGGGUAGGGGCAUGCGGAACUGAUGGUGGAGCGGUGAAAUGCGUUGAUAUCAUCAGGAACUCCGGUGGCGAAGGCGGCAUGCUGGACCUUUUCUGACGCUGAGGCACGAAAGCCAGGGGAGCGAACGGG